UUCCGGUUGAUCCUGCCGGACCCCACUGCUAUCGGGAUAGGACUAAGACAUGCAAGUCAAGCGCUUUCUAGCUAAUGUGAGAGCGCGGCGUACAGCUCAGUAACACGUGGCCAACCUGCCCUUGGGACGGGAACACCCCCGGGAAACUGGGGUUAAUUCCCGAUAGGUGAAGAAGUCUGGAAUGACUCUUCGCUCAAAAGACGUUUAUGUCAUGCUCAUAUUCGUCGCCCAGGGAUGGGGCCGCGACCGAUCAGGUUGUUGGUGAGGCAAUGGCUCACCAAGCCUUUUACCGGUGCGGGCCGUGAGAGCGGGAGCCCGGAGAUGGGCACUGAGACAAAGGCCCAGGCCCCACGGGGCGCAGCAGUCGCGAAAAUUUUGCAAUACACGAAAGUGUGACAGAGCUAUCCCGAGUGCCAUCCGCUGAGGAAGGCUUUUACCCAGUAUAGAUAGCUGGGAGAAUAAGGAGAGGGCAAGUCUGGUGUCAGCCGCCGCGGUAAUACCAGCUCUCCGAGUAGUGUGGACGUUUAUUGGGCCUAAAGCAUCCGUAGCUUGCUAGAUAAGUCCUCUGUUAAAUCCACCGAUUCAAUCGUUGGAUUGC
rnacentral:rRNA from 1 species